rnacentral:SRP_RNA from 1 species
AAUUGGGCUAGAUUGGCUGGUGUAGGCGCGCAGCUGUUACCCUAAAUCGUCUUUAUGGGAAUCGAAAACUUGAGAGCGACAUCUGGAUAGAUUGUUGGCCUCUUUGUUGACGUCGAAGCUUCGCCUCUGUUGGUGUUAUAUUCAUGUGAACCCGGCCAGGGCAGGAAUGCAGCAACCGUAGCUUGUUUAUGGUGUGCUUCAGAGAUACGGAGUGGAGUUGGCUUUGAGGAUAACCUUCAGUUGGUUCUUUUGUCCAUCUCAAGGAAGCCCACUU